GGGACGUUAACUCAGUAGGUAGAGUAUCUGCCUUUUAAGCAGAGAGUCGCAGGUUCGACCCCCGCACCUCCCACCA
rnacentral:tRNA from 1 species